AUGGCUAGUUAGUCACAGGGGAUUCAGCAGCUGCUGCAGGCUGAGAAGCGGGCAGCCGAGAAGGUGUCCGAGGCCCGCAAAAGAAAGAACCGGAGGCUGAAGCAGGCCAAAGCAGCAGCUCAGGCUGAAAUUGAACAGUACCGCCGGCAGAGGGAGAAAGAAUUCAAGGCCAAGGAGGCUGCGGCACUGGGAUCCCGUGGCAGUUGCGGCACUGAAGUGGAGAAGGAGACCCAGGAGAAGAGGACCAUCCUCCAGACGUACUUCCGGCAGAACAGGGAUGAAGUCUUCGAUAACCUCUUGGCUUUUGUCUGUGACAUUCAGCCAGAAAUCCAUGAAAACUACUGCAUAAAUGGAUAGAAGAGAGAAGCACCUGUUCUGUGGAGUGGCACUUUAGAUGCCCUCACGAAUAUGAAGCUUAGCACAGCUCUAGAUACA